UACGAGAGGCCCAAACGUUAUUCGGAAUUACUGGGCUUAAAGAGUUCGUAGGCGGCGCAGAAAGUAGGGUGUGAAAGCCCUCGGCUCAACCGAGGAAUUGCGCUCUAAACUACUGUGCUUGAGGGACCUAGAGGUGAGCGGAACUGAUGGUGGAGCGGUGAAAUGCGUUGAUAUCAUCAGGAACACCGGAGGCGAAGGCGGCUCACUGGGGGUUUUCUGACGCUGAGGAACGAAAGCCAGGGGAGCGAACGGG
rnacentral:rRNA from 1 species